AACGCUGGCGGCAUGCCUAACACAGUGCAAGUCGAACGAGACCUUCGGGUCUAGUGGCGCACGGGUGCGUAACGCGUGGGAAUCUGCCUUGGUUCGGAAUAACAGUUAGAAAUGACUGCUAAUACCGGAUAAUGUCUUCGGACCAAAGAUUUAUCGCCCAGGGAUGAGCCCGCGUAGGAUUAGCUAGUUGGUGAGGUAAAAGGCUCACCAAAGGCGACGAUCCUUAGCUGGUCUGAGAGGAUGAUCAGCCACACUGGGACUGAGACACGGCCCAGACUCCUACGGGAGGCAGCAGUGGGGAAUAUUGGACAAUGGGCGAAAGCCUGAUCCAGCAAUGCCGCGUGAGUGAUGAAGGCCUUAGGGUUGUAAAGCUCUUUUACCCGGGAUGAUAAUGACAGUACCGGGAGAAUAAGCUCCGGCUAACUCCGUG
rnacentral:rRNA from 1 species